UCCCAANAAGGUGCUGUGCAUACUGCAUA
rnacentral:piRNA from 1 species